rnacentral:tRNA from 1 species
UGUUCUGUGGCUUAGUGAUUUAAAGCGCCGGCCAAGCGAAUAAGAAGUCGUGGGUUCGAAUCUUACCAGAACGA